rnacentral:rRNA from 1 species
AGAGUUUGAUCAUGGCUCAGAACGUACGCUGGCGGCACGCUUAACACAUGCAAGUCGAACGAAGUAGCAAUACUUAGUGGCAGACGGGUGAGUAACAUGUGGGUAUCUGCCCUUUGGCCUGGAAUAACACGAGGAAACUUGUGCUAAUACCGGAUAAGUCUUUACGGAGAAAGCUUUAUGCACCAUUGGAUGAGCCUGCACUUGAUUAGUUUGUUGGUGGGGUAAUGGCCUACCAAGACUGUGAUCAAUAGCUGAUUUGAGAGGAUGAUCAGCCACAUUGGGACUGAGACACGGCCCAAACUCCUACGGGAGGCAGCAGUGGGGAAUCUUGCACAAUGGAGGAAACUCUGAUGCAGCGAUGCCGCGUGAGUGAAGAAGGCCCUUGGGUUGUAAAGCUCUUUCGUCGGGGAAGAAAAUGACUGUACCCGAAUAAGAAGGUCCGGCUAACUUCGUGCCAGCAGCCGCGGUAAUACGAAGGGACCUAGCGUAGUUCGGAAUUACUGGGCUUAAAGAGUUCGUAGGUGGUUGAAAAAGUUGGUGGUGAAAUCCCAGAGCUUAACUCUGGAACUGCCAUCAAAACUUUUCAGCUAGAGUAUGAUAGAGGAAAGCAGAAUUUCUAGUGUAGAGGUGAAAUUCGUAGAUAUUAGAAAGAAUACCAAUUGCGAAGGCAGCUUUCUGGAUCAUUACUGACACUGAGGAACGAAAGCAUGGGUAGCGAAGAGGAUUAGAUACCCUCGUAGUCCAUGCCGUAAACGAUGUGUGUUAGACGUUGGAAAUUUAUUUUCAGUGUCGCAGCGAAAGCGAUAAACACACCGCCUGGGGAGUACGACCGCAAGGUUAAAACUCAAUGAAUUGACGGGGACCCGCACAAGUAGUGGAGCAUGUGGUUUAAUUCGAAGAUACGCGCAGAACCUUACCAACACUUGACAUGUUCGUCGCGACUUUAAGAGAUUAGAGUUUUCGGUUCGGCCGGACGAAACACAGGUGCUGCAUGGCUGUCGUCAGCUCGUGUCGUGAGAUGUUGGGUUAAGUCCCGCAACGAGCGCAACCCUCACUUUUAGUUGCCAUCAUUAAGUUGGGCACUCUGAAAGAACUGCCAGUGAUAAGCUGGAGGAAGGUGGGGAUGACGUCAAGUCCUCAUGGCCCUUACGUGUUGGGCUACACACGUGCUACAAUGGUAUCUACAACAGGAAGCAAGACUGCGAGGUCAAGCAAAUCCUUAAAAGAUACCUCAGUUCGGAUUGCACUCUGCAACUCGAGUGCAUGAAGCUGGAAUUACUAGUAAUCGUGGAUCAGCGUGCCACGGUGAAUGCGUUCCCGGGUCUUGUACACACCGCCCGUCACACCAUGGGAGUUGGUUCUACCUUAAGGCAAGGUUUUAAACCCUUGACCACGGUAUAGUCAGCGACUGGGGUGAAGUCAUAACAAGGUAACCGUA